rnacentral:lncRNA from 1 species
UUCUCUGGGUUCCUACUCACUGUGUGGUUUUGUAUGAGCCCGGGCUCUGAAGGGCUAUGAUUCCUAUUUAAGUCACUUCUCCCCUCCUAACUGCAAUGGGCCACUUUGAAUGAUGUGCUGAAUAUAACUGGCUUGGAUAGUGAUCUUAUUACAGGUCUCUGCUGCCCACAGGGCCUGAGACCAGCAGCUGGAGAAACGCUGAUGGUUCUGCCCUCCCAGGAGCCGCCAAGUCUACGAAACACUAGGCCUUUGUCCCCAGUGUCAGGGAAAUCCAUUUGCUGUGGAUUACAGCUGUGACAGAGGUUCCGGGAAAGCAGAGGGGAAGGAUACUGAAAACCUCUCUCCAAAUCUAGCCUAAAGCCCUGGGGUAAGGCAGGGUGAGGUUUUUCCUAAUGGAAUCAGAGCUGGGCAGGAAAUGAGAAGUCUCGUCAGCCCCAUCGUGGCUGCUGGUAUUAUCAUGAGGCGGCUUGGUAUGGAGAGUCUGAAGAGAUGGGUGAACAUAUUCCUUUGCUGUGGCUCUGCUUCUCCUUUCUGGAUGCCCCUCCGCCAGAGGCAUAAGGCAGUAAUAACAGAAGAUUCAGACUCCCUAGACUUAGGGGACCUGGGGGAGGCCUCCUUACACCUCUCGGCUGCUGCAUGAACAUAAGUGUCCUGAUUUGUUCCAGUCUGAAGCCACUGACUCACUGGGAGCAGUCCAAAUGGAUGCAGCUCAAACCAUCUCAAAAGGUCCCUCCCUCUCCCCUGUCCUCUGCAUGUUGCCACCUUUAGUGUCUCUAGAAACCAAAGUAAGUAAAUGAAGGCCAACAAAAAUAGAAGUGAAGGAUGAGGAAUUAAAGCUGGUCAUAUAGUCCUAGCAAUCCAAACAGAAUGAUUUCAUUGUGAUGCAAAACACUAUAAAUUUAAAUGAGUAAACUUUCUGAAACCUUACUGUUUUCUUCCUAAUUUAUAAAAGGCAGGUUAUAUCAAGUAUUUCUAUAACAAGGUGGUGCUGGUUGGUUGAAGAAUAUGAGGAGGAAAAAGAAGGAUUUGCUGUCUUUUGGAAGGGAUGUACAGUGAAAGCCACACUGUGCAGAUGCUGAAUGCUUGGGGACGGGAUGGAUGAGUUUGUCUAGACUUGGGCAGCCCUGGACUCACUGCUGUAAGGCAGAGCAAAAUAUAUUCUGUGUCUUCUAUGGGCCCCUAAUCAAAUAUAAGCAGUGUCCUUAUAAAAGAACGCCAUGUGAAAACAGGCACACACGGGGAGAAGCCAGCCACGUGAAGAUGGAGGCAGAGAUUGGAGCUAUGCUGCCACCAGCCAAAGAACACCUGCAGCCACCAGAAGCUAGGAAGAGGCGAGGAAGGACUCAGGGGGAGCAUGGCCCUGCCGACACCUGGAUUUCAUACUUCCAGCCUCCAGAACGUACUGAGCAUUUGAUGUAAAUCUUGUCAGGAGCCACACACACCAACUUUCUGUGCUCAGGGACCAGUGCAGUCUGUGUGGACCAGAACCAUAUGAAGUGGACUCAGGAGAUAGUCUCCAAGCCUGUCUCCUCAGAGUGAGCAGGCUAGGCUUCAGAAGAGAUGGCGUCUUGCUUUCCUGCCCAGGCUGGUCUCGAACUACUGGGUUCAAGUGAUCCUUCUGCCUUGGCCUCCCGAAGUGUUGGGAUUACAGGCAUGAGCCAUCACGCCCAGCCAAAACAGCGUUUUUAAAGCACUUCCCAGGAAUAGCACAACCACUUUGGAAAUCAGUCUGCCAAUUUCUUAUAAAACUAAACAUUCAUCUACCCUAUAACCCAGAAAUUCCAUCCUUAGGAAUUCACUCAAGCAAAAUGAAAACAUAUGUUCAUAAAAAGUCUUGUACAAAUACGUUCAUAGCAGCUUCAUUCAUAAUAGCCCCCAAACCUGUGGUAUAUCCACACAAUGGAAUGCUAUUCAUCAAUAAAGAGAAACAAAAUAUUAAUAUGUGCAACAACAUGGAUGAAUUUAAAAAAUACUAUGCUGAAUAAAAGAAGCCUUAUACAAGGGUACAUACUACAUGGUUCUAUUUAUAUGGAGUUCUUAGAAUAAAGUUAAUCUAUGAUAGAAAAAAAUCAGAGCAGUGGUUGCCUCUGUGGGGUACGGGGUGGGGAAUGGCUGGGAAGGGGGAAGAGGGAAUUUCUGGGGUGAUGUUGAUAGGGAUUUGUACUAUAUCAAUGCAUGCCUCUGUCAAAAUUUACAGAAUAGUGUUUUUCAAAUUUGUG